GUUCUGUUCAGCAUAUUGACUGCAAACUAAGAAUAACUCAGUUAUCUUGCAAAAGAAGAAAAGUGAAAGAAAACUUGAUCAGCAGCCAUGGUUGGUGUGUUUCUACUUGUAUAUAUCUCAGUGAAUCUAUUCCUCCAAAGUCAAGGUAUGUUUUAAUAGUGCACUAAAUAAACACCAUUGCAGUAAAUAUAUUUUGCAGUAAUAUUAUAGUUUUCAGAAUGAACAAACGUCCCUAACUUAUUUCCUUCACAGGUCUUGAAAUUAAAAAAGCUAAGAUUUUCUGUGAAAAUACAUAAGUACCAGAAGGUGGUAAACUGGAGGUUACUUGCACCACAUUUGGUUUUGCAAAGGCAGAGGCAAAGGCAGUUUAUGUAUAUCUGUCUAAAGAUGGUAAAGCUAUAGAUAUGAAAAACGGACCCGCUCGACGUGACAUCACCUUUAAAAGAGAAAGAAUAGAAAUGGACGAUUCGGGCAACUACAGCUGUGUGUUUUCUGAAGAGCAGUUGGAAAUAACUGAAGUGAAGGGAUAUAGUCAUAAUAUCAUCUUUAUAAAUGUGAUCGGUAAGAUGUACGACACUUCUGCUUCCUGUGCACGGAUGAGAAAUGUUCAAUCACUUGUGCAGAUUAACCACAAUAGACUCACUGUUGCGCAAAAUUGCCUUUAAUAAGAGAGAAAUGUUUGAUAUUGUGUGUUUUUCUUUUUGUUUUAGACCCUCCUGAAAUGCAUUAAAGGCCAUGCUAAACAUUUAACCAUAAGUGUUCCCUUUCUCUCCACAGAAUCUUUUAUUAAUUCACAGAUACAUUUGCUUAGGUCUGAGGUAGCAGUGGGAAGUGAUGCUGGGUUUAACUGUAAAAUAUCCAGUCCUAUAAACAAAAACCUGUCCAAUAAUAUGAUUAUGGCUUUUCUCAUCAAAAAUGAAAAGCCUAUUAAAGUCAAUAUUUGGGACACAGAAGAGAUGAUGACAACAUUCACCCUCAGAGAGGUCCGGAUGGAAGAUGCUGGAACAUACAGUUGUGCUAUUUUGUUAAACACUCUCCCUUACCAAGGAAUGAGACUUGAUCGAAAUAAUACAGUCAACCUUCAGAUAGUCGGAUGCCUUGGAUUCCACAAAGAAAGAUCCUUUAAUGAGACAGAGCUCAGAGGAAAUGAUGUGUUCUACAAAGAAAUUCCCAAACCUGACACAGCUGGUUAUGGAGAAAUACGAACUGCUGUCUGUUAUGCUGCAGUGUGGGAGGAGUCCUCUGAUAGUGAUUCAGUGUAUGAUGACCUGGUCCAGUCUUAAUGCUCAAUCAGUAGAGCAUGGUGAUAGCAGUGCAAGUUCAUAUGUUCGAGUCCCAGGGAAAGCAAGAACUGAUAAAAUGUGUACCUUGAAUGCAAUGUAAAUUGCUUUGGAUAAAAGUGUCUGCUAAAUGCAUAAAUGUGAUAAAUUGGAUGACAUGCAUAGGCUACAGCUGCAGCAUGAAUAAAUUUUUGCAUUUUU